rnacentral:rRNA from 1 species
UACAGAGGGUGCAAGCGUUAAUCGGAUUUACUGGGCGUAAAGGGCGCGUAGGUGGUUGUUUAAGUGAGAUGUGAAAGCCCCGGGCUCAACCUGGGAACUGCAUCUUAUACUGGGCAACUGGAGUACAUGAGAGGGUAGUGGAAUUUCCGGUGUAGCGGUGAAAUGCGUAGAUAUCCGGAAGGAACACCCAGUGGCGAAGGCGGCUACCUGGCAUGAUACUGACACUGAGGCGCGAGAGCGUGGGGAGCAAACAGG